AAGCACCCAGAGACCUUGCCAGCAAUGUCGGCGGUGCGUUUUUGUAGGGGGUGCAGUGCCACGCUCGGGGGGCCAUGUGUACAUGCGUGCAUCCCUACACAUUGCCCCUGUGGUAAGUAGAGUCACACAAGGAACAAUGGUCACAAACUGACAGAGAGCAGAUUUAGGCUAGGUAUCAGGAAAAACUCCUUCAGAGUAAGGGUGGCCAAAAUUUGGAGUGGGCUCCCAAGGGAGGCGGUGCUGUCUCCCACCUCGGGGGUCUUUAAGAGAGGGCUGGAUAGGCACCUGGCUGGGGGCAUCUGGCCCAGCGCUCCUUCCUGCCCAAGCAGGGGGUCGGACUCGAUGAUCUGUUGAGGUCCCUUCCCACCCUAGCAUCUGUGAAGCUGUGAAUCCGUGCUUAAAGUAUACCAUUUUGUCAGCCUUCAGACCUAGGAGACUUCACAUUUUGUCAUGAGAGCACGCUACCAACAUCCAAGGUGGUUAGCACGUGGGCACUGCUUUAUAGUUAUUUUUUUUAAUGUUUGCAUGAACUGAUCUCCCCAAGCUCACAAAAUGACUUUUUAGUCUUCUACUUCACCUCCCUUUCCCAAAGAAGGCCACGGAGCCACUAUAACAAAUGUAUCUUGUGUUUCACUCUUAGUGACAAAAGGGAUUUAUCUAAUCUUCUUAUGCCGCUGCUUCUGUCCCUGGAGUAGCACACCAAGAGAGCAUCGAAUCACCAACUAUGGGACUGGAAGAGACGUCGGGGCCAUCUAGUCACCCCCUGCUCAAGGCAGGAGCAUGCCCUACAAACCAGUCCAGCCAAGCAUCAACUCUGCUCUUAUGCAUUGGCAAGCAUGGAGAUUGCACAACUCUCUGGGUAGCCCAUUUCCGUGUUCCAAAAAACCUAAAAAAAAUCACCCUCAUAUAGAGCGAAAGGUCUUAUAUCGAACCAAAAUAUCCCCUGCUGCAAUUCUUGAUUUACUCUGAGUCUGUUGCUGUGGCUGAAGAAAACAGGACACGUCUCCAUCCUCUCCAUGGCCACCUCUCAGGGAUUUGAAGACAUCGAGCUCUCGAGGACUAAUCUCACAACACAGUCGUUCAACCAAGAUACGUCCAUCUUCCAGUCCGUUCAUCUCAAGCGAAAGAGAUAGCGCCAUUAUCGUUAAGGAAGCAGGCAGGAAAGGUAAAAUGAGGAUGGCAGAGAAGGAGCAUUACCUCAAGGCGCAGUAAGCACAUGAUAUCCAUGAAAGAGCCUCUUCAGCCACAGCUCUGGUGAAAGGGCUGUUUGACCAAAGGCAGAAGAGGGAGAUCCAGGGCACGGAUCUGGUUAAACAUUUCGUCCUCCAGAAAGGGAAAGGGCUUGAAGGGAAACUGAGGGAAGUUGCCCAUGAAAGCGGUGCAAUGCUGAGAGACUGGGAGGAUCCACACUGUCAAAGGGCCGACAGUAGGCAGCAAGUAAUACAGUGUAUUUCCCCCAGCUCAGAGCUGGGAGCCAGCGGGAGCCCCCCGGCCUACAGAAAUAGAGGUUACGUCACCGCAGGGAACACGUGUGAGAUAGACCUGGGCCGUAUGUUCUUGUGCACACACAAUAAAUGGUGUUCGUUAGGAGCUGUUGUUGGAGUCCCUUUCCUCAUCCGCUGUCACAGUUUGGACAGGAAACCCUUGCAGGGUCCAGUCCUGGUUGGAGUCCCUCCUUGUGAGUACCAUCAGGUCGUGUGCAAGCCAAGCCCUGUCUCACACCCGGUGGCUGAUGCAGCGGUGCGGCCGGACACGGCCGAGACGUGCAGGUGGGCAGACCCGGAGAACGUGACACGCAUCACAAUGGCCCCUUCUAGAACCGGCUCGUCGCCGUGCGGCUCUUGGAGACGCACACAGCAGGUCAACUGCUCCCGACCCGACACUGGUUGUUGUCAGGUCACACCCGUGUCCUUGCGAUCACCCUGACCGCAAGGCUACAGAAAACUGGAGAGCUUCUUAUCCCAGGAUACAACCAUGGGAUCCUUUGGAGACACAGGAAGGGCAGAGCAGGAGGAGGGCUAUGGGUGCAGCUGCAUCCCUCUGCCUUCUUUCCUCCAGCGCCUCCGCACCCGAGAGCCGAGGCCCCGAGCAGGCAGCCAGGAAGGGCAGGAGCAGCUAUUUGACAGCGGAGACUAGAGGACCUUGCAGGCUCAAUGGAGGCAGCAGCUGCAGCUGCAGGUCAUGCAGAAAAAUGUAGAUGCUCUUCUGGAGGAUUUUGGGAACAUACAUACAUUUUUCGCAACAUACAGGACCUUUGCCUCUCCUGGUGAGGUCCUAGAAAUGCUCCUCAGCAGGCAUGGAAAGCUGGAGACCUUGAGCUGCAGAGGAGAUGAAAGUCCAGAUUUCUCAGCGGACUCCAGGGCAGUCCUCAGGAAUCCAAUCAUCUUCUUCUUGAAAACUUGGCUGCACUUCAGCCCUGAAGAUUUCAAAGAGCCGCCGAAGUACCACACACGACAGAAAGUAAUAGCACACCUGAACAAGAAUGUCCCUGGCUGUGACAUUGAAAUGGAGGCCAAACACCUCCUCCACCAGUUUCAAAACGAAGCAGAAAA